UGAGGCAGAGCAAACAUCCAUUUCAUGCGUGUGUGUUUUAUACUGGAUACAGCAGCUGCUGCAAAAACGACUAUUCUUGUUUUAUGAUUGCAUAGAGAGGAUCACUAAAUUACUGACAAGAAGCCGUUUUAUAUUCUGUCAGAGGACAGCUUGUGGAAAUUGGCAGAUAGUCAUCUGUCUGCAGUCAAUGCACAACACAAUGGACAGAUAUUCUGCACUUUGCUUCAUCGUUCUGACUGUUUUCAUGAUUGCUUCAACAGCUUCAACUGCAGCAGCAAAUACCACAGCCAGUACGGCAGCAACAACAGCUUCAUCUACCGAUGCAGCAACUACAGUGGUAACUACAGCAGCAACAACAGCUUCAAGUACAGAUGCAGCAACAGCAGCUUCAACUGAAGCAG